UGGGGAAUAUUGCACAAUGGGUGAAAGCCUGAUGCAGCGACGCCGCGUGAGGGAUGACGGCCUUCGGGUUGUAAACCUCUUUCAGCAGGGAAGAAGCGAAAGUGACGGUACCUGCAGAAGAAGCGCCGGCUAACUACGUGCCAGCAGCCGCGGUAAUACGUAGGGCGCAAGCGUUGUCCGGAAUUAUUGGGCGUAAAGAGCUCGUAGGCGGUUAGUCGCGUNUGCUGUGAAAACUCGAGGCUCAACCUCGGGCUUGCAGUGGGUACGGGCUGACUAGAGUGCGGUAGGGGUGACUGGAAUUCCUGGUGUAGCGGUGGAAUGCGCAGAUAUCAGGAGGAACACCGAUGGCGAAGGCA
rnacentral:rRNA from 1 species